UACGGAGGGUGCAGGCGUUAUCCGGAUUCACUGGGUUUAAAGGGUGCGCAGGCGGCCAAGUGUGUCAGGUGUGAAAUCCCGAGGCUUAACCUCGGAACUGCGCCUGAAACUACUUGGCUAGAGUACUGGAGAGGGUAACGGAAUUCACGGUGUAGCAGUGAAAUGCGUAGAUAUCGUGAGGAACACCAGAGGCGAAGGCGGUUACCUGGACAGUUACUGACGCUCAGGCACGAAAGCGUGGGGAGCAAAAGGG
rnacentral:rRNA from 1 species